GGCCGGUUGGCCCAAUGGCAAGGCGUCUGACUACGAUUCGUCGUGUAAUCAGGAGAUUCUGGGUUCGACCCCCAGGCUGGUCA
rnacentral:tRNA from 2 species